rnacentral:rRNA from 1 species
UACAGAGGGGGCAAGCGUUGUUCGGAAUUACUGGGCGUAAAGGGCGCGUAGGCGGCCUGCUAAGUCGAACGUGAAAUCCCUGGGCUCAACCCAGGAACUGCGUCCGAUACUGGUUGGCUUGAAUCCGGGAGAGGGAUGUGGAAUUCCAGGUGUAGCGGUGAAAUGCGUAGAUAUCUGGAGGAACACCGGUGGCGAAGGCGACAUCCUGGACCGGCACUGACGCUGAGGAGCGAAAGCGUGGGGAGCAAAGCAGG